rnacentral:rRNA from 1 species
GACGAACGCUGGCGGCGUGCUUAACACAUGCAAGCCGAGCGGUAAGGCCCUUCGGGGUACACGAGCGGCGAACGGGUGAGUAACACGUGGGUGACCUGCCCUCCACUUCGGGAUAAGCCUGGGAAACUGGGUCUAAUACCGGAUAGGACCUCUGGAUGCAUGUCUGGGGGUGGAAAGUUUUUUCGGUGGGGGAUGGGCCCGCGGUCUAUCAGCUUGUUGGUGGGGUGAUGGCCUACCAAGGCGACGACGGAUAGCCGGCCUGAGAGGGUGAUCGGCCACACUGGGACUGAGACACGGCCCAGACUCCUACGGGAGGCAGCAGUGGGGAAUCUUGCGCAAUGGGCGGAAGCCUGACGCAGCAACGCCGCGUGGGGGAUGACGGCCUUCGGGUUGUAAACCUCUUUCGCGAUCGACGAAGCUCCCGGUUGUUCCGGGGGUGACGGUAGGUCGAGAAGAAGCACCGGCCAACUACGUGCCAGCAGCCGCCGUAAUAC